CGCGGAGUGGAGCAGUUGGUAGCUCGUUGGGCUCAUAACCCAAAGGUCGUCUGUUCGAGUCGAGGCCUCCGCAA
rnacentral:tRNA from 1 species